rnacentral:lncRNA from 1 species
AAAUAUAGAUUACUUCCAAGACCCACCAAACUAUGACAUCGAAACUCCUAUAAUAUGUGGCUCUUCCUCUCUCCUGCCUUGCUUGCUAACUUUGGAUCUUGAGAAGCAUGGGCCAUCGUCCGAGAGGUCUCCUCCUUGCCGUCUCCGUUGCUUCUGUUCUUUGGCUGUUGGGUUCUCAGCCGAUCUCGGCUGCAAGGCCUUGGGACAGGUUACUCGACCCUGCUAUGUUGCUGGAGUCGCUCCAAGGAAGAAAGUGGAUCCCGCCGAAAGAAAAUAACGCUUGCACCAGGAAUUCUAAUUCGUGGCUUUGUCAGGACCCAUACAUGGUGUACACGCCAAAGCCUCCACCGUAGGUCAGCAGGGCUCUGCCCGGACGUGUCCAUGUGUAAUGACUCUGUUUUCAUGGCAUAUAUACUGGCACCUCAAUAAACAUCACUUGUUCUAAAUUUCCUUCCUGUUGUCGUCGUUAUUGGGUCUUUUUCUCCUUACUCGUUUUGUUUUCGUUUUGAACAAUGAUGGGAGCUCUGUCCAUUAGUUCAUAGAAAUGAUGAAUCUCAGAAUUGGUGUUCCCAUUGUUACUUAUUGUCAUUGUAUAUCUUUGAUAGUUGAAUAUUUCACGUAGCAAAGAUUGCGAUAGUCGUAUCAGACUGUAGUCCUUUUUUUGUCCCUUGUUAGGACGUUUGUUGACGGAUUUUACUACAGUUUGUAUAUUAUUAUAUUCUAAUACCUUUUGUUGGUAAAGUUUGUAAUUUUUAUUUUACUACAGU